rnacentral:rRNA from 1 species
AUUGGAGGGCAAGUCUGGUGCCAGCAGCCGCGGUAAUUCCAGCUCUAAAAGCGUAUAUUAAAGUUGUUGCGGUUAAAAAGCUCGUAGUUCGAGGUCAGUUCUGGACUGGCGGGGCGGGCCGCCGCGAGGCGCCCGCUCCCUCGCCACGCUCCGAACGGCUCCCCGGUCUCACGGGGAGUCAGCAGUCGGCUCGGCCGGGGUGCUCUUCGCCGAGUGUCCCGCGCCGGCCGGCCGGUUUACCUUGAACAAAGUAGAGUGCUCAGAGCAGGCUGAAAUCUCUAAACUUACAUGCCCGAAUGUACCUGCAUGGAAUAAUGAAAGAUGAACUCGGUUCCAUUUUGUUGGUUCUGGGAACGUCCGAGUUAAUGACAAACAGGGACAGACGGGGGCAUUCGUACUACGACGCGAGAGGUGAAAUUCUGUGACCGUCGUAGGACGAACAACAGCGAAAGCAUUUGCCAAGAAUGUUCUCGUUGAUCAAGAACGAAAGUUAGAGGAUCGAAGGCGAUCAGAUACCGCCYYAGUUCUAACCUUAAACGAUGCUGACCAGUGAGACGCCGUCGUCCUUCCCAUGACGUGGCGUGACACCCCCGAGAAAUCUCGAGUCUUUGAGUUCCGGGGGUAGUAUGGUUGCAAAACUGAAACUUAAAGGAAUUGACGGAAGGGCACCACCAGGAGUGGAGCCUGCGGCUUAAUUUGACUCAACACGGGAAACCUCACCAGGCCCGGACACUAGAAGGAUUGACAGAUUGAAAGCUCUUUCUCGAUUUGGUGGAUGGUGGUGCAUGGCCGUUCUUAGUUGGUGGAGUGAUUUGUCUGGUUAAUUCCGGUAACGAACGAGACUCUGGCCUACUAAAUAGUCGGUGCGAGUCCUCAGCGGCUCUGCCCGAGAGUAUCUUCUUAGAGGGAUGAGCAGCGAGUAUAGCUGCCUGAGAUUGAGCAAUAACAGGUCUGUGAUGCCCUUAGAUGUCCUGGGCCGCACGCGCGCUACACUGAAUGGGUUAGCGGGUUCUCCCGCUCCGAGAGGAGCGGGGAAUCGCCUGAAAACCAUUCGUGAUAGGGACUGCGGCUUGAAAGUAUUCCGCACGAACGAGGAAUUCCCAGUAAGCGCAGGUCAUCAGCCUGCGCUGAUUAAGUCCCUGCCCUUUGUACACACCGCCCGUCGCUACUACCGAUUGAAUGAUUUAGUGAGGCCUUCGGACUGGCGGCCGCGGACCGGGUCCGGUCGACUCCGUCGUCCGGCCUGCCCAAAGCCUGCCGGAAAGAUGUCCAAACUUGAUCAUUUAGAGGAAGUAAAAGUCGUAACAAGGUUUCCGUAGGUGAACCUGCGGAAGGAUCAAG